rnacentral:piRNA from 1 species
UGGGAAGUAUGCCUGUCACGCUGGUG